GUUCGAUCUAGCGGAGAGGAGCUCAAUUCAGUAGGGAAUGAGCCUAAUUUAGUCUAGAAGACAUAGAAGACAUUGAUUUGGUUAGGAAGGAUUUUGCUCCGGUGGGAGCUCGGGGAGGAUUUCGAUCCAGCGUGAAACACCGUAUCUUGUUUUUCUUUUUAUUUCUUGCUGGUGAAAGGGAUUAUGGCACUUUCACUUACCAAAGCAUGGAGCCCGACGCAAGCUCGACGCGAUAGUCCGCUCUCAGCUUGAUUAGGGAAAAGUUAGGGAGGAUGUGGAUUAAUUUGGGCAGAGAAACUAAGAGAGAGCUGUUGGUUCGAUGAGGAAAGAGAGCAGAGGAAGAAGUAAGUUGGUGAAUGGGGAGGAAGGAGAUGUGCUACUUGCUGUUGCUAUUUGGAUUUGGAAGGGAGAGAUCGAUGGAGAAAGGAUGGAUGAUGGUUAGUGCCUGGGAGCCGCAGCUUCUUGCUUUCCCCAUUGGAAACGAAAGCUAAGAAGAAAGGAGGAGCUGCUGGCUUGCUUCACGUUCGUCGAGCUCGCAUGGCCGGCGGCCGGCGCAUCCAGCGACCGUCCAAGUGGUUUACAGAGGAAGGAGAGAGAAAGAAUUGAGCUACAACAUUUAUUAUGGACCUAUAUGAAGAAAUUAUAGGCAAUGGAGACCGUGGGAGCGGGGACGGCGGCGGGAGCGGAGGGGCAGCGGAGGCCGGUGAUUGAGAAGAACGGGAAUAGAGCGAGAGAGACAUGGACGAGCGAGAGAGGCCGGGAGAGACGAGGUGAGGGGUAAAACGGUCCGUUCAUGGGUACUGUAAAAUGAAAAUGAAAAAGAAAAUCUUGAAAUCAAGAAAAGAAGAAGAAAUCCCCUGAAUCGAAACAAUUCGCAUGUAGAGGGUUAUAUUUCGAAAGACUUGCGAAUUGGAUGUCAAAAACAGUGAGACACGCGGAUUCGAUGUCAAAUAUUGAAAUUUCUCCCUUUGCUCCGUACCUCCAAUCGCAUUCCAAUCCAAUAUGUAGCAGCUGCCCUUAAAUCCUCUUUACUCCUCAUGCCGCAUCUAUGUGUUUUCCCCACCGUGAAGGAGCAACAGCAGCAGAGAAAGGCCGCGGCUUCUCCCCACCGUCUCCCUCAAAUCGAUAGCCUUUCUUCUUCCACUGGAAGCCCCUCUGCACCUCAUCCAGCCACCUCUCCAAUUCACCAGCACUCCCCCGUGCUCCCUGUUUUUGGCAUAGACACUUCCAUCGACGAUGCCCUCAAUGUGUUCAAUGAAAUGGGCACAAGGUUCAAAGGACAGUACAGAGAUUGACAUGGUGUUCUCGACUUCUUGUCCUAGAGAUACUUUGUUUCGAAUUCAUGUGCUGGUUCUUUACCAUUAGGUUAUCAGUGGACUAUUUCUUUGUCACCUUGCUGUCAAUAUGCUACAUUUGCUAGGUACGGGUACAUAAACAUACACUCUAUUUCAGUUUGGAUAUAUGUUUUAAUGCAUUAUUUAACUACUCAUCAAAAUCCCCACUACAGUCAGACUAAUGUACGUGUACCUUGUUGCUAAAAUUAUUCCCUUCCAAGCUUGCCUUCUAGAUUUCUAGGUUUACUGGGCAAAGGAAAAAGAAAGAAAAUACAGUAUAAAUCAAAUGUGCAUAUAUAUAUUAUUUAUCUUUUUUUCAGAGAUGUUAUCAUGCAAGUUUUUAUAAAAAAUAUAGAAUAGCUUUUUUUUGAAUUCUCUGCCAAAUGCUUAUUUCCUUUUUGAUAAUGUAAACUAUGUCUUCCAUUUAAUAGAUCUUUCUUGUCUAACAUCUUUCCACCGGAACAUUGGUUGAUUACAUCAUAUAUGCCAUCAAAGUUUUAUUUACCAAUGAUAUUCAUAAUAUUUAAAAUGAAUUGAUCUCUGAUAAUUGAAAACGUGGAAGGACGAACUUACCAUGAUUCAUUUGAGUCCAAUUUUUCUAAUGUCCGAAAUGCUAAAUUAGGGGAUACUUUAUUGGUACAUAUUUUAAACAAAUUUUUAUGUAUACUCAAUUAUCGACUUUGCCUUCUCAUUAUCCAUGUGCUCUCCGCGUAAAGCAAUUGGCUGCAAUAAUGAUGAGAAAAGUUGCAGUAAUAAAGGUAGUUACUUCGAUGUCUUCCUCUCUUAGCAGCUCAUCAGUGGGAUGCUUUCUUAUCCAUGGCUAAAUAUAUCUUGUAGAGUUGAGGUCUGGCAAAAAUAUGCUUUCAUGUUUCAUCCACAUUUGUUAUUAGUCUAAGACGUGCUGUACUUGACAGGAUCGUGCAAUGUCUUAAACUGCUUGUCACUGUGAAAUUUGACAUGAUGCGUAAUCUGAAACUUACAUUUGAAUAAGCCUAUUGUUUAUGUUUAUUUUUCAUAUUUUAGUCCAGCAUGUUUCACCUUUUAGUUUAUCUAUCUCAUAUCUGAUCUGCUUGCUUGUAUGUUAUUAGUUAGAUAUGGAGCAUAUUGCUCCUAUAUUCUUUUCAUUUGAUCUGCUUGCUUGAUACGUUUUUAGUUAGAUAUGGAGCAUACUUGUGCUCAUCCAUAAAACCUAAUACUCUCUAGGUGUUUCAUUGAUGUGUUUUGUUACCUUAAUGAGAUAGAUGGAUGGCUUCCUGUGUUUUACCGUUGACAUUUGGCUUCUCGACGUGUUUAUUUCUUUGCUCUAAUCAGGCUUUGAACUAUAUGCGCAUCAAAUUGCUACGUGCAGACUGAUGCCAUCUCUGUUUCUUUUUAAUGUCAUACGCAGCCUCUCUGUUUACUGUUUUUCUGGAAUAUGACAUCCGAUGCCCGAGUAUUGUUGGUUGUACCUCAAUGCGCAAUGUUAUUAAUGCAAAUGCUUUCUAGGGGACUUGGAUGGUUUGACAAUUGCAAUGUACGUCCAUAAGCAAAGCUUUGCUAGCUUUGAUUUUUGUUGCUGUGUUAAUUCUCCUAACAUAUCUACAUUUUAAUUUUCACAGAAAGCUAUCAGUUUAAUAGUGCAUAAUGUUAGAGCUAUCCUAUCUUUGAUUAUCUGUUUCUUUAAUUGCACGUAGAUUUAUGGUGCUUGGAUAUGCUGUAAUACUGAUGCUCCAAAGGCUGGAUAGACACCUGAUGGACAGGAUAGCCUGGUGCUUGAAUAUCCUGUAAUAUUGAUGCUCCAAAUGCUGGAAAAACACCGGAUGGACAGGAUGGCCUGAUGCUCGGAUGUGCUGUCAUAGUGCUAAGACGUACUGUAAUAUUCCAAGUUUUCGGACAGACACUUCAUGGAUAGGAUAGCCUGUGCUCUCAGAUAUGUUGUAAUCUUCAUAAUUCAAAUGCUGGAUAGACACCUAUGAUGGAUAGUGUACGCACACUGCUCAAAUGUUAGCAUAUUAACGAUGUAUUUGUUACCAUAUGCUAUGAUUUUGUGUUGAAUUUA